UAGUUUUCGUUGUCGUCCAUUUUCAUUCGAACGUUCGUCCUGAAGUGUUUAAAGUUUUAGGAGUGAUACACUAAUUUGUAAAAGUCUCAAGGUUUUAUACUAAUAAAAUAUAUACGAUGUAGCUAAUUUGGAGAAGUAUUGAUUUUUUAAUCAAUGCGAAUGAUGCACAAUAUCUAUUUCAUUGUUUAAACACGUGUAGCUUCAUGAAAAGUGAGGUUAUUUUAUGAUUGAUUCAUUCACGUGUGUAGCUGAAAUAUGCUGAACUUGGAAGGAAAAAGGCAGCAAAAAUGUGUCAACAUAUCUUUGACACAUAGCUAUGCGCUGAUUGCACCCAUGUCACUCGAACACUAAGAUUCCGAAAGGGUGCAGGGAAAUUGACCCGGAGGAUGCCGAAUACUCUGAGUUCUGCGAUUUUCAGGAUAUGCUGAAUAUGGUCAUUCGGUAGUUUCAGCUGAUGAAUAAACGAUUUAUACAAACUAA